rnacentral:rRNA from 1 species
UGGCUCAGGACGAACGCUGGCGGCGCGCCUAACACAUGCAAGUCGAACGUGAGAUGAGGAGCUUGUUCUUCAAAUCGAGUGGCGAACGGGUGAGUAACGCGUGAGGAACCUGCCUCAAAGAGGGGGACAACAGUUGGAAACGACUGCUAAUACCGCAUAAGCCCACAGCUCGGCAUCGAGCAGAGGGAAAAGGAGCGAUCCGCUUUGAGAUGGCCUCGCGUCCGAUUAGCUAGUUGGUGAGGUAACGGCCCACCAAGGCGAUGAUCGGUAGCCGGACUGAGAGGUUGAACGGCCACAUUGGGACUGAGACACGGCCCAGACUCCUACGGGAGGCAGCAGUGGGGAAUAUUGCACAAUGGGGGAAACCCUGAUGCAGCGACGCCGCGUGGGGGAAGAAGGUCUUCGGAUUGUAAACUCCUGUUGUUGAGGAAGAUAAUGACGGUACUCAACAAGGAAGUGACGGCUAACUACGUGCCAGCAGCCGCGGUAAAACGUAGGUCACAAGCGUUGUCCGGAAUUACUGGGUGUAAAGGGAGCGCAGGCGGGAGAACAAGUUGGAAGUGAAAUCCAUGGGCUCAACCCAUGAACUGCUUUCAAAACUGUUUUUCUUGAGUAGUGCAGAGGUAGGCGGAAUUCCCGGUGUAGCGGUGGAAUGCGUAGAUAUCGGGAGGAACACCAGUGGCGAAGGCGGCCUACUGGGCACCAACUGACGCUGAGGCUCGAAAGUGUGGGUAGCA